rnacentral:rRNA from 1 species
UACGAAGGGGGCUAGCGUUGCUCGGAAUCACUGGGCGUAAAGGGCGCGUAGGCGGCCCGGUAAGUAGGGGGUGAAAUCUUGCGGCUUAACCGCAAGGCUGCCUUCUAAACUGCCAGGCUUGAGCACAGUAGAGGCAGGUGGAAUUCCCGGUGUAGCGGUGGAAUGCGUAGAGAUCGGGAAGAACAUCGGUGGCGAAGGCGGCCUGCUGGGCUGUUGCUGACGCUGAGGCGCGACAGCGUGGGGAGCAAACAGG